GACGAACGCUGGCGGCGUGCCUAAUACAUGCAAGUAGAACGCUGAAGGAGGAGCUUGCUCUUCUGGAUGAGUUGCGCACGGGUGAGUAACGCGUAGGUAACCUGCCUGGUAGCGGGGGAUAACUAUUGGAAACGAUAGCUAAUACCGCAUAACAGUAGAUGUUGCAUGACAUUUACUUAAAAGGUGCAAUUGCAUCACUACCAGAUGGACCUGCGUUGUAUUAGCUAGUUGGUGGGGUAACGGCUCACCAAGGCGACGAUACAUAGCCGACCUGAGAGGGGGAUCGGCCACACUGGGACUGAGACACGGCCCAGACUCCUACGGGAGGCAGCAGUAGGGAAACUUCGGCAAUGGACGGAAGUCUGACCGAGCAACGCCGCGUGAGGGAAGAAGGUUUUCGGAUCGUAAAGCUCGGUUGUAAGAGAAGAACGAGUGUGAGAGUGGAAAGUUCACACUGUGACGGUAUCUUACCAGAAAGGGACGGCUAACUACGUG
rnacentral:rRNA from 1 species